rnacentral:rRNA from 1 species
AUUGAACGCUGGCGGCAGGCCUAACACAUGCAAGUCGAACGAGUGGCGGACGGGUGAGUAAUGUCUGGGAAACUGCCUGAUGGAGGGGGAUAACUACUGGAAACGGUAGCUAAUACCGCAUACCCUCGGAUGUGCCCAGAUGGGAUUAGCUAGUAGGCGGGGUAAAGGCUCACCUAGGCGACGAUCCCUAGCUGGUCUGAGAGGAUGACCAGCAACACGGGAACGGAGACACGGUCCAAACUCCUACGGGAGGCAGCAGGGGGGAAUAUUGCGCAAUGGGCGAAAGCCUGAUGCAGCCAUGCCGCGUGUAAGAAGAAGGCCUUCGGGUUGUAAAGUACUGUCAGCGGGGAGGCGUUACCCGCAGAAGAAGCACCGGCUAACUCCGUGCCAGAAGCCGCGGUAAUAC